AUUGAACGCUGGCGGCAGGCCUAACACAUGCAAGUCGAACGAGUGGCGGACGGGUGAGUAAUGUCUGGGAAACUGCCUGAUGGAGGGGGAUAACUACUGGAAACGGUAGCUUAUACCGCAUAACAUCAGGUGUGCCCAGAUGGGCGUAGCUAUUUGGUGGGGUAACGGUUCACCAAGGCGACGAUCCCUAGCUGGUCUGAGAGGAUGACCAGCCACACGUGAACUGAGACACGGUCCAGACUCCUACGGGAGGCAGCAGUGGGGAAUAUUGCACAAUGGGCGCAAGCCUGAUGCAGCCAUGCCGCGUGUAUGAAGAAGGCCUUCGGGUUGUAAAGUACUUUCAGCGGGGAGGCGUUACCCGCAGAAGAAGCACCGGCUAACUCCGUGCCAGCAGCCGCGGUAAUUC
rnacentral:rRNA from 1 species